UCUUUUUUUUUUUUUUUUUUUGAAAUUCCAUAACAAUGCGAUCCUUUUAUUGCACAGGCUCUCACUAUACCAUGUUUUUCUUGUAAUUUGUAACAAUGCUAUCAUUUUAGUGAUUAGAACUUUGAACAUUGUUAUGAUAUGCGAAUGAAUUUUAUAAAUAUUUUAAACACGGGUUAUCAUGGGCAGCUCAGCAGUGUCAUAGUGAGAAUCACUGAACCAUUUGUUUAAGGCACAUGUCCUGCUACCACACCGGAUCGCUGUUAAUCUCAAUUAUGCUUGCGUUUCUGUUGACCAUUUAUUUGUUCCGUGCCUUUCAGCAACUACUUUCAAAGUGGUCUUAGGUUCCAUGUUAUUCAAGGCUAACAUUAUAUUAUCCCUUGCUUUACGUACCACAGGGACCACAAAUUCACAAAAUUCUAAUUUCCCCUGAUUUGGAAUUCCAAAACACAUUCAAUGCUACACAAUCAAAUUCCAAAACACAUUCAAUGUUACACAAUCAAAGGUGAUGUUAAUGAGAAAUAUCAGAGUAAAUAUGGAUUUGCUGCCACCAAUAUAUAUUUAUAAUUCUGUACAGUGAUUUUCUGAUAUUUGGUAUCUCUUUUUUCGUUUCAUUCCACUUUCAUAUUUGUAUUCCCUGCAAAUUUACCACAUAUAUAAUAUCAGAUACCAAUUCUUCAACCGUUUUCCCCUAUAUGAAUAAUAUAUAUACAAAGUAAAAUUAUGCGACACGCAAGAAUGUGAUAACAAAUACAUUUUAUUGACAAGUUAAUUCUUUUGUGAAAUUUUGACCUGCUGUUUGAGCAGAUUUGUCUCAAACAGUUAAUGAAGUGUUCAUAGAGGAAGAGCUGAGAACAAACCUUGCAGCACAAAAUGCAUUUCUGUCGGGUGUUUUACCCAUGCUUCAUUUCUGUUUCUAACAUCCUACAUCUUAGGGAAUGCUAGUUCUUCUUACCACUCUUGAGGUUGCGUACAGUCAUGACUAGUUGUUGCCUUUCACCUUCUACCUCUGCAAAUUUGAGGCUUAUCUCUGAAUAUCUCUCUUGCAUAUCUUUUAAUUCACUUCCCAUAGAUUUGUUCCUUUCCCUUAGCAGUUCCAUUUCAGUCAACAAUUCAGCAAGGUUGCUGUCAUCCCUGUCAAGUGUUGCUACACUAACUUCUUUCUUGGCAGACAUUCUCUCUGUGGUGGUCGUCUCAGAAUGCUGUAGUUUCUCCCUUUUAUCUUUUCUUUCUUCAGAUUCCUUGACUUUUGCAGUAUUUAUUGCAGCACGCUUGGUUCCCCAAUUUUCAUUAUAUGUUGGAGUGCAGUUCUUUCCCUCCGGAAAUGUAGCUCCAUUGUUGUUAUUUUUUAGCUUACUUCCCUCUUUUGUCUUGUGUAGCUCAUGCUUUAAUUCAAGAACUUGUUUCUGCAGCUUUUCUUUCUCCAGUUCUUCUUUAGACAAGCUAUUUUUUAAUUCAAUAUGCUGAGAUCUAAGGCUGUCUGCUUCUGAUGACAGUUUGUCAAACAGUGUCUCUUUUUCAUUCUUCAAAGACCUCAAUAUGAAUAAUUCUUCUUGAGCCCUUUCUGCCUCCUUCUUUGCCAAAACAAAAUUUCUCUCCAAUUCAUCUCUUUCUCUAAUCCAUCUUUCUAUUAGCACCUCUGUUUCUUCAACCGAUGUCUUUGUUUUAUCUGUUUCAUCGCUUAUUUUCACUUGUUCUGCCUGUCCAGGGAUGUGAUUCUUCUCUUUUGUGAGCAUUUCUAUCUUGGCAUUAAGCAUUUGAAUUUCAACUGAGAAAGCCUCUUGCUUUUCUUCUUUAUGCUUCUGUGCACAUCUCAGUUGCUGGGACGUAGCUUCCAGUUCUAAUGACAUAUGCUCGAUGUGUUUUGUUUUCAAAUCUAGUUGAGUCAAUAGCUCUUCCAUUCUUAUUCUGUUCUGGUCCCUGAUUAAUGAAAGCUCUUCAUCAGCUUUCUGAAGCCUUUCUUCCAGAUUUUGGUUCUGAAAGCGUAGUUCAUUAGCUUCUGUCAUCGCUUUCAUCAUCAGCUUCUCAUUUUCAUCAAACUUGCCUGCCAUUUCUACUGAAAGUUUUCUAAAUUCCUCUUGCAGCCGCUCUGCUGUCAUAGCAUUUUUCCACCGUGUCUUCCUCAAGGCCUCUUCUGCAUGGAUGGCUCUUUGUUCCUGAUCAAUUUUGGCUUGCAUCAUUGCAUCCAGAUCAUUUUCAAAUCCUUGUGCCUGCUUUUCCAGUUCUUUCUCCAUUGCUUUGACCUGACUUUCAAGUCCAUUGAUGGAAAUCAAUGACUCUGAAAAUUCUUGUGUCUGCUUCUUUAACUUUUCCUCCAAUCUCUGAACCUGUAAUUCAAGUCCUUCAAUAGUAGCUAAAUAUUCCAUGGAUUCAUUUUGCAUCUUCACUUCUUGUAGCCUGUUCUGCUCUAACUUGGAAGAGAAAUCGUUGUUUUCCUGCUGUAAAUCUGCAUACCCUUGGGUAAGUUGUUCAAUAUAAUUCUCCAGUUUUUCCCUAUCUUCUCUGUAUAGUUUAAUUUCAUCAGAGAGGUCCGCAAUUUUUUGCUUCAGUAAGCAUAAUUCACAGGCAUCAUUUUGCUCCCUUGCUAAUUCUUCCAGCGCAGCUGCUGAUUGUUGGUCAUCCUCUUUCAUGUUGCAUUUACAUUUUUUCUCCUGGACCUUAUCAACAUUCUUACUUAACUCAAGCUUGACAGAAAGAUGAGAUAUUUCCAUAUUUUUUUGCUCCAACAUAUCAUCAAGGUCUCUCACUGCAAGAAUCAACUCCGAAUUGGAAUCUUGCGUUUUCUGUAGUUGCAACUUGAGAUCAUUGUUCAACUCCUGUUCAUGACUAAGCUCUCGCAUGAUUUCUUGUAGCUGAUCUGUUACAUCCUUAUUCUCAGCUCGCAAUCUGUUCAGGGCUUCUCCAUCAACACACUUCUGUCGGGACUUGAGUUCUUGAUAUUCUGUUUUGAUUGUAUCUCUCUCCUCUUUAAGGUCAAUAAUUUGCCUUGAUAAAUCCUGUGCUUUUCUGCUCUCCUUUGUAAUUUGCUUCCGCAAAGACUGCAAUUCCAGUUCUGAUAAUUCCGACUGCCUCAGUAAACUGGAUAUUUCACUUUUUAGUUUUUCAAUGGAUUCAUCUGAAGCUCCUUGCAAGUCUCUUGGAAGGCUGUCUUGGCGGCUGUUUGUCGAGUCAGCUAAACUUCCAUCUGAAGCUGAACCCACUGACCAAUCUGUGCUUGAUCUUCUAUGCAGAUGGUUCUUUGUUGUGAAAGUAUCAAUCAUUAUCUUUUGAGGCAUGGAAUUUUGUCUCGGAGUUGAUUUGAUGCUAGCAUUAGAACCAAUAGAUGCUUUGAAGCUGCCAUCUUGGUCAGCAUUUUGCAGUGAGAAAAUAUCCAAGUUCCUGUCUUCAGUGGAAUUUCUGUAAUUUUCAUCUGUGUGGUCAUUGCUCAAUGUGUUCCUCAAGCUUUCAUCUUGGGGAAGUGUGGAAUCUCCAUCAUCUACAGUGUAUCUUUGAUCAGUACCUCCCUGCACCUUCUGAACGGUCACAUGCAAAACUGCACCAGAGUUAGCGAACUUAAGGGGCAGAGAGACUGUCAAUGGCUCAGUUCCCUCAGCAAAAUCUGCAAAAUCAAUUGAAGCUUCUCCAAGAUAACCUGAUUUUGAAGAUCCACUAGACACAAUGAAAUGGAAUAUUUUCUCAUUCAGUUUUCCUGUUUUUGCCUGCCUGAUAAGUUUCACUGUUACAUAUAUAGGGUUCUCCCAUAAACAGAUUCCAUCCUGCACUGCAGCUUUCUCCAGUUUGAAUGUUGGCUUUCCAACAUCUUCUGGCAACAAAGAUAUAGUUAAUGCAGGUUUCUUCAACUGUGGCACCUGAGUUGCCUGAAACUGCAACUUGAAAACAGCUUUGAUCUUUUUGUUGUUGCUCCUCCACGACUUAAACAUGUUUUUGUCCUUACUAUGGAUUCUCAGAGAAUCUUCAUAAAAGGUCUCACUCUCCUUAGAAUGCUCCUAACUUGGACAAAAUAAUGUAUGGUUUCUUCUCAACUGUGAAACCCAAAAACAAACGAAAGCAGCAAGAAAGCUGCAGCAGUGGUUUACUUGUUGGCUUCUCAAAUUAGAAACUGAGAUUAGUUUGGAAAUUAGAACUGAGGAUGACUCAAAUCCAGAUAGAAAAUGGAUCCAUCACAAUUAAAAAAAUUAAAAAGCUUAUCUGUACUGGCUCAAACAAUUCAUGAUAUAUUAUUGUAGAGAACCAAUAGCUGUACUAUUCUCAGCUUUCUUUUUAAUGCAGGAAAGCACGAGGUGCGGACCUUUAAAUGACAAAGAUGACCCUACGCUUUCAGUAAUAUGUCUUCAUAGCCCAGAAGACUUUUAGGUUAAAGUUGCAAGCCAAUUGGCUCGGAGCCUGCCCUCCAUGCGGUGAAAGGAAUAUCAAUAUUGUCGGGGGCAAAGAAUUUUGAGAAAAUAGGUUUCCCAGGGAAGGUUCCAUAUUGGUGAGUGAUACAGAUAAGGAAAUUUCUCUACCGUAUUAAAUAAAGCAGCUAACAUCUGGCCUGUGCUUUCACUAUUGCUUUGGAUUUCGUCGUUGCUAGCGACAAUUUGCAACAAACAAGCAGUUUGCCACUGAAAGUUAUGAGUAUAUACGUGGGAGGACUAAGAUGUUCCUCUGUAUUUUUGGUCUAAUCAGUUUUAUUUUCGGGUGAUCUCCUAAAUGGAGGAUUAUAUUAUUCAAAUCCAACAAUUAUGGGGUGGAUAAUCGCUCAAUAAAUGUAAGAAGGGAUUUCUUUAAAUUUUUUUUUCAUUUACUCUAACAAGAGAUUCUUG
rnacentral:misc_RNA from 1 species